UAGGGAAUCUUCCACAAUGGGCGCAAGCCUGAUGGAGCAACACCGCGUGAGUGAAGAAGGGUUUCGGCUCGUAAAGCUCUGUUGUUAGAGAAGAACAAGGGUGAGAGUAACUGUUCACCCCUUGACGGUAUCUAACCAGAAAGCCACGGCUAACUACGUGCCAG
rnacentral:rRNA from 1 species